UACGUAGGGGGCAAGCGUUGUCCGGAUUUAUUGGCGUAAAGAGCGUGUAGGCGGUUGGUAGGUCCGCUGUGAAACUCGAGGCUCAACCUCGAGACGCCGGUGGAAACCAUCAGGCUAGAGUCCGGAAGAGGAGAGUGGAAUUCCUGGUGUAGCGGUGAAAUGCGCAAAUAUCAGGAAGAACACCCGUGGCUAAGGCGGCUCU
rnacentral:rRNA from 1 species